CGUGGAGACAGGUGGUGCAUGGCUGUCGUCAGCUCGUGUCGUGAGAUGUUGGGUUAAGUCCCGCAACGAGCGCAACUCUCACCCCUAGUUGCCACCGGGUAAAGCCGGGCACUCGAGGGGAACUGCCAGCGUCAAGCUGGAGGAAGGCGGGGAUGACGUCAAGUCAUCAUGCCCCUUACGCCCUGGGCUACACACGUGCUACAAUGGCCAGUACAAAGGGACGCGAGACCGCGAGGUGGAGCUAAUCCCAAAAAACUGGCCUAAGUUCAGAUUGCAGUCUGCAACUCGACUGCAUGAAGGAGGAAUCGCUAGUAAUCGCGCAUCAGCCCGGCGCGGUGAAUACGUUCCCGGGCCUUGUACACACCGCCCGUCACACCACGAAAGCUGUCUGUACUCGAAGUCGCUGAG
rnacentral:rRNA from 1 species